rnacentral:rRNA from 1 species
AACGAACGCUGGCGGCAUGCCUAACACAUGCAAGUCGAACGAGACCUUCGGGACUACUGGCGCACAGGUGCGUCACGCGUGGGAACCUGCCCUUAGGCACGGAAUAACUCUCCGAAAGGGGUGCUAAUACCGGAUAACUUCUUCGGACAAAAGAUUUAUCGACCUUGUAUGGGCGCGCGUUGGACUAGCUAGUUGGUAGGGUAAAAGCCUACCACGGCUACGAUACAUAGCUGGUCUGAGAGGCAGAGCAGCCACACUGGGAAUGUGACCCAGCACAGAAUCCUGCAGGAGGCGGCAGUGGGGAAUACAGGACAAUCGGCGGAGGCCUGAAGCAGCUAUGCCUCGUGAGUGAUGAAGGCCGUAGAGUAGUAAAGCUCUUUUACCCGGGGUGAUUAUGACAGUACCGGGAGAAUAAGCACCGGCUAACUCCGUG